AACGAACGCUGGCGGCAGGCUUAACACAUGCAAGUCGAACGCCCCGCAAGGGGAGUGGCAGACGGGUGAGUAACGCGUGGGAAUCUACCCAGUUCUACGGAACAACUGAGGGAAACUUCAGCUAAUACCGUAUACGCCCUACGGGGGAAAGAUUUAUCGGAAUUGGAUGAGCCCGCGUUGGAUUAGCUAGUUGGUGGGGUAAUGGCCUACCAAGGUGACGAUCCAUAGCUGGUCUGAGAGGAUGAUCAGCCACACUGGGACUGAGACACGGCCCAGACUCCUACGGGAGGCAGCAGUGGGGAAUAUUGGACAAUGGGCGAAAGCCUGAUCCAGCCAUGCCGCGUGAGUGAUGAAGGCCUUAGGGUUGUAAAGCUCUUUCAGUGGGGACGAUAAUGACGGUACCCACAAAAGAAGCCCCGGCUAACUUCGUGCCAGCCGCCGCGGUAAUAC
rnacentral:rRNA from 1 species